rnacentral:rRNA from 1 species
GUUUACGACAAUAUCACGUUGAAAAUAGAGCUUCUGUUCAGUUCGCCGAAGUUAAGCAACGUUGAGUUUAGUUAUUACUAGCAUGAGUGAGAACAUCGGAAAUCUUGGUGCUGUAAGCA